ACAAUAUUGUGCAAUAUUAUGCUCUUUGUACGAUAUACAGCAGUAGUGUGUGUAAUAUAUACAGAUGAUUUGAUGACUGACAGUUCUGAUAAGGCAGUACUUAUAUAUGAACCAGGGUGCGAAGAUCAAUGGUGAUUUUUCCUACACGGUUUCUGGUUCUUGUGUCGUACAAGUCCUGGGGAGUGGGCAGGGGGGCACCAAUUAUUUUUUAAUGUAGAUUAUUAUCAGUUGGCUACUGUAUAAGCUGUCCACCCAAUCAGAAGUUAGAAAUCAUGCUGUGUUUUUUUUUUUUACUUUAAUUGAGUGUGAAUUUGAAAUUUGCUGUUGCCUUUCUUGUUUGUGUAUGCAGGCCUGGCUAAAACUUCAGCAAUGUGCAUCUUGAAGCUGUCUUUGUUGCAUUUCAUCCGCUAACCUCUGUUUCUCCUCACCAUAACUUUAGAGGAUUAAGACCUAACUGUGAUCCAGCAGGAAACUCAUAAAAGUCCAGCUCAUGAACAACACGACGAUGGCAUUUCUCAGCCAGUAAUAACUGCUCCAGCAUGCGUCGAUAUGCUUCUCUGUGCUUCUCUUUAAGCUUGUCCAACUGAGUCAGAUGGACAUACCACCACAGGACACAUUCAUUUAACAACAAACAGUAUACAUAACCAAUGAUUAAUGUUUGCAUUCUGACAGCCAAUAUGUACUUAUUAAACAAUUAUUUAGUAACA